rnacentral:rRNA from 1 species
CCUACGGGAUGCAGCAGUGGGGAAUAUUGGACAAUGGGGGAAACCCUGAUCCAGCGAUGCCGCGUGGGUGAAGAAGGCCUUCGGGUUGUAAAGCCCUUUAGAUCGGGAAGCGGUACCGGUAGAAUAAGCACCGGCAAACUCUGUGCCAGCAGCCGCGGUAAUACAGAGGGUGCGAGCGUUAAUCGGAGUUACUGGGCGUAAAGGGCGCGUAGGCGGUAUGAUGAGUGCGAUGUGAAAGCCCCGGGCUUAACCUGGGAAGUGCAUCGCAAACUAUCAAACUAGAGUAUAUGAGAGGGUGGCGGAAUUUCCGGUGUAGCGGUGAAAUGCGUAGAGAUCGGAAGGAACGUCAAUGGCGAAGGCAGCCACCUGGCAUAAACUGACGCUGAGGCGCGAAAGCGUGGGGAGCGAACAGGAUUAGAUACCCUUGUAGUC